rnacentral:lncRNA from 1 species
CCCCCAUGGAGACAGAUGCAGAAAGCGUGGACAUGGCCUUAAUUUUAGAGGAAGUGUAAUUAGCUGGAGUUUUUCCUGCCUCUAUUUUUAUGGUUGUUGCUACAAUAUCGUUUGUGCAAUUACGAAUGCUGAAAUCAAACUCAAACCACUUAAGGACACUCGCAACUGGGAUUUCUCCAGUGGCACUAAACGGCCAGGCCAUUGAUCGAGCCAGCAAGCCAGCCAGCAUCGACUCUGCAGCUCUCCCGGAUCUGAGACCCCAGGGUUACAGUGCGGGAGACCCAUGCAGGAGAAAGCAGGUGAGAGCGCUGUGCAAGCAUUAGAAUCGGAGUUUGGCAUCCCAGACCUAUAAGAAUCAUUAGGUUCCUGGAAGCCAGUUACCUGCACAGCUACGAAUAUAGCCUUGGGUUGGUUUCCCUCUCUAUUUCCACCUCCUCACCUACAAAACAGGACACACCUCCUGGCCCCUAGCCUACCAGUGGGACCUGUGUGAAACACCCAAGGAUACUGGCUGUACAAACAACCAUCAUCAGAAUGACGGAACCAGCAGACAUUUUAUUUUUCCAAAGGUGUUACCAGUAUUAAGGCAAAGUAGACUCAUUUGACAGUCACCGAAGGGAGAUCAGUGGCCGCCAUGAAGCCAAUGAAGUUAUGACAGCAGGCCCAGGAGGAGUCG